GGGGCCCCCUACUCACACAACACUUCCUUGCAAUCAAGAAGGUCCAUUCGCCCACACACGUACCCCCUGUCCGCCACUUGGGACCCUAUGUGGUGGUUACCGUCCUCCCCGCUGGUCCGGCGAGGGAGGCUUUUAGAUGCUCUUCUGAUGAAGCGGCUGUAGCCGCGAAACUAGUCAAGAGGCUCGAUAUGACUUUCAAACCCAUUAUGUUUU